AUUCCAGCUCCAAUAGCGUAUAUUAAAGUUGUUGCAGUUAAAAAGCUCGUAGUUGGACUUGUGAUAGUGCCUGUGGUCCAAAAUGUUUUGAACUGAUGGUGCAUUAUCUUCUUUGGGUGGAACCUGUAAGGCAUUAGGUUGUUUUGCAGGGAAUGCCCAACGUUUACUGUGAAGAAAUUAGAGUGUUCAAAGCAGGCUUACGCCAUUGAAUAGACUAGCAUGGAAUAAUGAGAUAGGACUCUGGUGCUAUUUUGUUGGUUUGUGCACUGAAGUAAUGACUAAUAGGGACAGUUGGGGGUAUUCGUAUUUCAUUGUCAGAGGUGAAAUUCUUGGAUUUUUGGAAGACGAACUACUGCGAAAGCAUUUACCAAGGAUGUU
rnacentral:rRNA from 1 species